AUACGGAGGGUGCAAGCGUUACUCGGAAUCACUGGGCGUAAAGCGCGCGCAGGCGGUCUUUUAAGUUGGAUGUGAAAGCCUACGGCUCAACCGUAGAACUGCAUCCAAAACUAUUAGACUAGAGUGUGGGAGAGGAAGAUGGAAUUAGUUGUGUAGGGGUAAAAUCCGUAGAGAUAACUAGGAAUACCAAAAGCGAAGGCAAUCUUCUGGAACAUAACUGACGCUAAGGCGUGAAAGCGUGGGGAGCAAACAGGAUUAGAAACCCCAGUAGUCC
rnacentral:rRNA from 1 species